GCGGUGUGUGGAGAGGUUCUGAG
rnacentral:piRNA from 1 species